rnacentral:tRNA from 1 species
GGCCUCGUAGCUCAAACGAAUAGAGCAUCCUUUUGACUGAGGGACGGUUGCGGGUUUGAAUCCCGCCGAGGCCG